rnacentral:rRNA from 1 species
AGUACGGCGAGUGAAGCGGCAACAGCUCAAAUUUGAAAGCUGGCCUUCGGGUCCGCAUUGUAAUUUGUAGAGGAUGCUUUGGGGCAGCCGCCUGUCUAAGUUCCUUGGAACAGGACGUCAUAGAGGGUGAGAAUCCCGUAUGUGACAGGACAUGGCACCCUAUGUAAAGCUCCUUCGACGAGUCGAGUUGUUUGGGAAUGCAGCUCUAAAUGGGAGGUAAAUUUCUUCUAAAGCUAAAUAUUGGCGAGAGACCGAUAGCGCACAAGUAGAGUGAUCGAAAGAUGAAAAGCACUUUGGAAAGAGAGUUAAAAAGCACGUGAAAUUGUUGAAAGGGAAGCGCUUGCAAUCAGACUUGUUUAAACUGUUCGGCCGGUCUUCUGACCGGUUUACUCAGUUUGGACAGGCCAGCAUCAGUUUCGGCGGCCGGAUAAAGGCUCUGGGAAUGUGGCCCUCACUUCGGUGGGGGUGUUAUAGCCCGGGGUGUAAUACGGCCAGCCGGGACUGAGGUCCGCGCUUCGGCUAGGAUGCUGGCGUAAUGGUUGUAAGCGAC